GCAACGGUGGUGUAAGGAGUAGCAUCGCUGCCCGGAAAGCAGAAGAUGCGGGUUCGAGUCCCGCCUAGCGCA
rfam:Heligmosomoides polygyrus genome assembly, scaffold: HPBE_scaffold0000070